ensembl:snRNA U6 U6 spliceosomal RNA
GUGUUCACUUCGGCAGCACAUACACUAAAACCGGAACAAUACAGAAAAGAUUAUCACGGCCCCUGCACAAAGAUGACACAAAUUCGUGAAGUGUUCCCUAAAAAA